UAAAAAAAAAAAAAUCCACUGUCUCCAUGGACUCUCUCUUCUAUAUAUGGAUAGAAAAGAAACGCUGCAUGGCUAUUGGCUGUGCAGCUGAAGUUCGCGUUGUUGAUUGGCUGAGUAAUACUGCGCUAGAGCAAGACCAGCCUCGACGAUGUUCCAGAAAUCUCCCUGAGAUUGAUCAUUGAGCUUUAACUCCUGAGCAAUUCCUGAGCAUUACGAGCACUACAAACUCUCCACUGCACAAUAUCCAACCAUCUAUUCAGAGCACAACCUGUAUUUUUCACUGCAGUUGAACGCCUGGUUUUGGAUUUUCUCAAAGUAGCAGUUGUUCUGUAUUGUUCUCACCCCUCCCCCACCCCACCCUACCCCCACC